UUCUGUGGUGACCUGUCAAACCGUAACACAGGUGUCCUAAGGCGAGCUCAGGGAGGACAGAAACCUCCUGUGGAGCAGAAAGGCAAAAGCUCGCUUGAUCUUGAUUUUCAGUAUGAAUACAGACUGUGAAAGCGGGGCCUCACAAUCCUUCUGACCUUUGGGGUUUUAAGCAGGAG
rnacentral:ncRNA from 1 species